ensembl:rRNA 5S_rRNA 5S ribosomal RNA
GCUUACGGCCAUACCACCCUGAGCACGCCCGAUCUCGUCUGAUCUCGGAAGCUAAGCACGGUCAGGCCUGAUUAGUACUUGGAUGGGAGACCGCCUGGGAAUACCAGGUGCUGUAAGCU